rnacentral:lncRNA from 1 species
GUUUUGGUUUCAAUAGUUUAGGAAUAAGGGGCCAAUAAAGGGCCCAAAUAAGCAUUUUUCUUGGUUUUUGCACAAUAACCUUAGGUUAAGUAAAUGGAAAUCUAUGAAAUUUAAACACAAUGUUUAUGACCACAAAAGGAAGGUUGGUAUAUAUUUUGGGAGUUUAGGACCCAACAGAUUAGGAAUUAGGGGCCAAAAAGGGACCCAAAUAAGCAUUUUUCUUGGUUUUCGCACUAUAAUGUUAGUAUAAGUAAAUACAAAUCUAUGAAAUUUAAACACAAGGCUUAUGACCAUAAAAGGAAGGUUGGUAUUGAUUUUGGGAGUUUUUGGUCCCAACAGUUUAGGAAAAAGGGGCCCAAAGGGUCCAAAAUUAAACUUUGUUUGAUUUCAUCAAAAUUGAAUAAUUGGGGUUCUUUGAUAUGCCGA